CCACCCAGUGGUCGCGCCCGACCCCCAACACCCCUCCCUCCUACCGAACCUCACGCAGCCAAGUGAGCGGAACCAUUCUGCGGAGGGGGGGGAGGGGGCUGCGAGCACCCUCUGCUCUGGGUGAGAUUAUAGAGCCACCCCCCCAUGCCCCUCCGUGGUUGUGUCCGGCCCAGGUCAAAUCAGCCAACUCAGUUCCGAAUCCUCUUGAUUGAGCAACACUCAAUUGUUCGAACACCAUAUGUGGCACUACAACCGGCAAGUAUCCUUUUCAGUCUGGGGCUUCAGAUACUCCCAAAUCCUUUGACGGGCAUCCUACAUGCAGGCCCGAGCCUGGAGGUCAAUGGCCACAGCAGCAAGUUAUGGAGCAGUCUCCCAUUUCCAUAAAGGAGGCAUGUAGCCAAGAUCCUCCUACUGGGAGAUGCCCACUGGGAGGCUGUACCAGGCUCUUCCAAAGUGUCCUGUCCACAGUGCAUUGGACAGGGGUGCACCCUCUACUACACAAUGCCAUUCAGAUCCAUCUUGGCCGGGCCAACAGACCACUGCAGCAACUCCUUUUUUUUUUUUUUUUUUUUUUAAGAGAAUUUUUUAUGUUCCAAUCCAAAUCAGCCAAAUCAAUUCCAAAUCCGCGAGCCAGUCUAGAACCAUAAGUGGCCCUAUUACCGGCAAAAUCCUCCACCCCACCUGGGGCUUCAGAUGUUUCCAAAUCCUUUCGCAGGCAUCCUACGUGCAGGCCCAAGCCUGGAGGCUUGGGUUCAGGUGCCCCCCCCGACUUUUGCUUGCCCUCAGCCUUAAGACUGCAGGAGCAAGCUAGGAAGGAGUCUCCUAUUCCCAUAAGGUGAGCAUAAAGCCAAGAUCUUCCCGCUCGAGCAGCAAGUGGGAGGUUGACUAUGUAUCACCUCCGCAGGUACUACCCCAUGCCAGAAAAGUGGUUAUCCCUGGGUGCAACUAGGAAAACCACCCUGGUGGUCAUGGUAUUUCCCCUACACUUUUUUUUUUUUAAUUUAAAUUUUCCAUGAUCCAAGCUAAAUCAGCCAAAUCAAUUCCAAAUCCAUGAGUCAGUCCAGAACCAUAAGUGGCCCUACAACCAGCAAACAUCCUCCACACCCAUCCGGGGCUUCAGAUGUUUCCAAAGUCUUUUGUCCUACAUACAGGCCCAAGCCUGGAAGCUUGAGGUUUGGAUGCCCCAAGUUUCACCUGCCCUCAGCCAUAUGGGCGCAGGAACAAGAUAGGGAGAAGCCUCCCAUUUUCAUCAAAUGGGCAUUAACCCCAACACCUCAGCAGAUACUAAGCUAUACCAGAAAAAGUUAUCCUUGGAAGCCUUAAGAAAAACUGCCUUCUUGGACCCAGAUACAUGUUGUUUCCUCUUAGGUUUGCUGUCUCUCUUAUGACUGCUUGCCUCAAAGAAAUGCUUCAACUUUGCCCCAAUUCUCACUCACUCACUGGCAACUUACAGUAAGCAAUAUAAAGUAAAUAAGAAGACUUAUAUGCAUACUUAUUUGCAUAUUUUUUUCAGUAUAUGAUAGUUUUUCAACAAAUACGAUCAUUUUGAGCUUCCAAUAUGAUAGUUUCAUAUUUAAGAACUAGCAACGCUGGAUAGGGCUGCCUCGCAGGGGUGUGGCAUAAUGCAGCUUAAGAUCAAUGAUGAAUGUCCACAGCCAAGCUGUGAGGUGAAAUUCGCCUGAACAAAAGGGCCUCUGUAAGAGUUCCAGCACUAUUUAAAUUCAGCAUUGUCAUUCUGAAAGAGCAGGGUAGACAAAGGGGUAAUAAAUCUGCAUUGGAAACUGCAACCCCUUUAUGCUGCAAAGGACAGGUACCUGAUUGUUUCAAAUGGACCAACACAGAGAGAGAAACUGAUCAUGUGAGUAGGAAUGGAGUGACUUGAAAACCCUGAGUGAUGUAUGUUGUUGUAGUGAGUGCACAUUUCAAUCCUCAGCUAAAAUUGCAUCCAAAGAGGGGUCUACUCAGAGUUAAGGAGUUGCUCCUGUCAUGACCCAAAGGUCUGAUUUUUUGUGUGUGCUUCGGCACCCGAAUUAUCCCCGUGGGUUUACAGCUUCAUUGCACAGUGGAGUUCUGCUGCGCAGAGAACCCGCGUGCAAAGGAGUGUUCCCGCCACUUUGCAUCAGUCUUUGCAGGGUGCAUUUCCUUUGCAACACAGAAAAUUCCGCUCGUCGUAUGCAAAUUCGUGUCCCGCUAUUGGCUAGUGCUAAAUAAUUCACACGUGGCGGCUAGCGAUUGGCCUGCUAGCCGUAUAAGAGGCUUGAGCAGUUUCCGCCCAAGCCGAAGAGGACUCUGCAUCCAUCUCGUGGGGACUCUGGGUGUGCGCGGCAGGGUAAUAGAAACCCUGUGUGUUGCUCAGAGGAGUUUGGCGGCCUGAUCCACCGCCCACCUCUUCCCGUCUUCGAACGGAGCCUACUAUAAGACGUACCGACGAGUUUUAUGCGCGCUUGUCCUGGACAUCCGGAGUUUUGUCUGCGUGGAGCCUAGCAAGCUCCACGUGAUUGUUCGAGUUCUGUCUGCGUGGAGCCUUGCAAACUCCACGUGUGUUCGUGUUUUCUGUUGUAACCGCAACUCAAGCAAGUUCUCAGCCUGCACCGCGACCAUCUCGGUGUAAGUAAACAAUCUAAAAAUCAA